GACGAACCGUGCAAACGUUAUUCGGAAUCACUGGGCUUAAAGGGCGCGUAGGCGGACAGGUAAGUCAGGGGUGAAAGCCCACGGCUCAACCGUGGAAGGGCCUUUGAUACUGCCUGUCUUGAGGGAGGUAGGGGCGUGCGGAACUUCCGGUGGAGCGGUGAAAUGCGUAGAUAUCGGAAGGAACACCGGUGGCGAAGGCGGCUCCCUGGACCGGUACUGACGCUGAGGCGCGAAAGCGUGGGUAGCAAACAGG
rnacentral:rRNA from 1 species